GCGACCCCAGGUCAGGCGGGGCUACCCGCUGAAUUUAAGCAUAUCAAUAAGCGGAGG
rnacentral:rRNA from 2 species